ACAACAAUGCGAAUCUCUCUUAGCUUUACAGCAGCUUCAACUUCAACCAGCCUGCUAACCAUCCCCUGCUCUUAUAGUCAGUUAUCGAAGAAAUGGGCUUGUGGACGGCACAUAUGGGCUUCACAAUACUCUCAUGGGCGAUGGGUCUGCUCAUUCUGUUCUCCAAAUCUCACUCAUUCGUCUUCCUGCAAUUUUCCUUUCUUACUUUUCAUUCCCUCCUUCGUCUGGGCCUGUUGAGACUGUAGCACCAAGAAUAAGAUUUGAUCACCGGACACGCAAGCGCAUAUAUAGGCCCAAUAUUACUGGGCCUGUGUUCUGCGGAGCUCUCUGGGCUAUGUUUUGAGUUCUAGGCAGCCCAUAUCUGUGGGCCUAUGUUGUCUUGCAGUUUCCUGUAUCCAACCUCUGAAGUGACUUCCACCACUGUACACCGCCGGAAAUGGAUCCGCCGUCCGUCCAUCAAGUGGUCAUGUGCCUGUGAUCGAGUUAUAAUUCAGAGCUCCAUCCGGUGCCUAUCCGUUUAAAUUCUUUCUAUCAGAACCAAUGCCAUGGUUUGGUGUGGUCUGUUCAGGCAGUUUGAGAUCAGUGGUUGUGGCCCACAUUACAUACUCGUCAGUCUUCACUAUUGAAGUUGUUCCCCGAGCUCCAUGGAUGACUGGAAAUGCUGACAGUCUGAGACAGAGAGAUCAUGGGGCGAAUGACGUGAGGAUCGAUGAGAUUAUUUAGUCGAGAAAAAUCUAUAAUAAAAUUAGGCAAACGCAGCAAUCAUUCCACAUGUAUUUUUAUGUAUUUUUAUUGAAUCAUCGUUCGGACACGCAAGUAGUUUUGUCUUCCAGGUAGAAGAUACUUGCCUGUUAUACAUGUGCAGCUUGGUACAAAUUUUCAAAUGGCUGGAGAUCAGAUACCUCCCUAGUUCUAUCAAUGGUUCAACCUAGAAUAACGUUUCCCACUACAAACCUCAUGGACAUGCUAACAGAACCUGGUCCAAAAAGUCUCCAUUCUUCAACCCCUGGUUGAUUCUCCAACUCUGAAGCUUGCUGCAGGAAAAAAGGAUAUGGUUAGAUGGACCCUAUGGCAGAUGCAGCACAAAUGGAUCAUCCAAAAGAGGAUCCAUCCAAAAGGGCCAAAACAACCCUGGUGAAGUAAUCAGUAGAGUGGUCCUGCAAUCAACAGCCACUGUGCAGUGUAAUGCUUGGAACUAUUAGCCUUGACCUUAUCCUCCAUUUUUGGCAAACUGAUAGAGUGCAUGCAGCAGGAAGAGUUAAGUAAGUGUCUAAUGCUGAUAUAUUUUAUUUGGAAUAUUCCUUGAGAGACCUGUAUUCACUAAAACUGCUUGCAUUUAGUUUCCAAAUCCUGUAGCAGCACAUUAGACAAGCAUGCUGAACAUGAAAUUAUCCUAUUAUAUUCAUGAUGACUUGGUGCUGAUUCAUUGAAUUUGCCAUCAGAGUGAAACUAACUAUGAAUGUUAGAUUAGGGGGUUUCAUUGAAAGGGAGAAAACCGAGCAACACAGCCCUUAGAAAAAUCUAUCUAUUUCAGUAAU